CAAAUAUUUGCUUAAUGGAUAAAUGAUUGCAAUUUGGCUCCAGACAAGGAAGAAUGUGCUGUUCAUGCCAGCAGAGGCAUUCUGGUAUUUUUGGCACUUCAAAUAAUCAUUAACCCAGUGCCGUGCUGCAUGGAGAAGACAAAUGGACAGGAAUUGAGGCACUCUGGUUGACAGUCCCACCUGAGCAUAGCAUCCAUUUGACCCCAGCUGCCAGCCAGGUCAUAUAUGUGGUGAAGAUCAUCAUGGCAAAAUAUGCAAGUUGGAUGUCUGACACUCAUAUGGAGGCAGUCGGGAGUCACAGAGGGCUGAGCAGGCACCACAUGCCAAGGAUCCAGCAGAGGACUUGCCAGGGAUAGUGGAAGUUGCCAGAAGUUACCAGAAGAUGACAAUUGGAGCUCUGGUUGCCAUCUUGGACCAUGAGGAUGAAGAAUGUGGAAGGGUGAGCUAAAAAGAACUUGGAUUCUUCAUGACCUUGUGGUGCUACCCUGCUAGUCCUGGAUUGCUUCUUGCAUCUAGACUUCAUUUACAUGUGAGUAAAAUAAACAACUAUCUUUUUUAAGACACUA